AGUGAACGCUGGCGGUAGGCCUAACACAUGCAAGUCGAACGGCAGCACAGUAAGAGCUUGCUCUUACGGGUGGCGAGUGGCGGACGGGUGAGGAAUACAUCGGAAUCUACUUUUUCGUGGGGGAUAACGUAGGGAAACUUACGCUAAUACCGCAUACGACCUACGGGUGAAAGCAGGGGAUCUUCGGACCUUGCGCGAUUGAAUGAGCCGAUGUCGGAUUAGCUAGUUGGCGGGGUAAAGGCCCACCAAGGCGACGAUCCGUAGCUGGUCUGAGAGGAUGAUCAGCCACACUGGAACUGAGACACGGUCCAGACUCUUACGGGAGGCAGCAGUGGGGAAUAUUGGACAAUGGGCGCAAGCCUGAUCCAGCCAUACCGCGUGGGUGAAGAAGGCCUUCGGGUUGUAAAGCCCUUUUGUUGGGAAAGAAAAGCAGCAGGUUAAUACCCCGCUGUUCUGACGGUACCCAAAGAAUAAGCACCGGCUAACUGCGU
rnacentral:rRNA from 1 species